rnacentral:rRNA from 1 species
UGCUAUGGCCAUAAUAUCCUGAACGUGCUCGAUCUCAUCUGAUCUUGGAAGCUAAGCCGGGUCUGGCCUGGUUAAUACUUAGAUGGGAGACCACCUGGGAAUUCUGGGUGCUGUAUAAA